UCGGGAAUUUUGGGCAAUGGGCGAAAGCCUGACCCAGCAACGCCGCGUGAGGGAUGAAGUAUUUCGGUAUGUAAACCUCGAAAGAAUGGGAAGAAUAAAUGACGGUACCAUUUAUAAGCUCCGGCUAACUACGUGCCAGCAGCCGCGGUAAUACGUAGGGAGCAAGCGUUGUUCGGAUUUACUGGGCGUAAAGGGCGCGUAGGCGGCGCGGUAAGUCACUUGUGAAAUCUCUGAGCUUAACUCAGAACGGCCAAGUGAUACUGCUGUGCUAGAGGGCGGAAGAGGCGACCGGAAUUCUUGGUGUAGCGGUGAAAUGCGUAGAGAUCAAGGGGAACACCUGGGGCGAAGGCGGGUUGCUGGGCCGGCACUGACGCUGAGGCGCGAAAGCCAGGGG
rnacentral:rRNA from 1 species